CAAAGAAAUCCCAGGGCUGAUCUCCUUCAGAAUGGACUGGUUGGAUCUCCUUGCAGUCCAAGUCACAGACAAAUAGUGUUUGAUUCUGCUUGCACAAGAUUCAGUCAUCACAAGUUAUACACAAGCUGCUGCUGCUGCUGCUAAGUUUCUUCAGUCGUCUCCGACUGUGCGACCCCAUAGACGACAGCCCACAAGAUCAGAUGGACUCACGGUCACAGCAGUUAAAAAGAUGGAGAUAUCUGAAUGAAAACAUCUCACUGGGCUUCUGUCCAUGUUCUGUCGCUGGGGGUUUGACUCCAUGUGUCAAAUGAGUCGAGUCUCUGGAUACUAAUAAUGCUGGUGUAGGCUUCUGAGAUUAUACUAUAAAAUUUUCAAUGGUUUCUGCCUCUCAGUGGAGGCAGAAAUUCUCUUGAUUCUCAGAAAAAGGUAAAGCCCUAGAAAUCUCAGCAACCCAAUGGUUAUCACAUGUUGAGAUGCUCUGUGUCAACUCAGAUCAUUGACACACACAUUUCAGACUUAUAAAGCACUGAUGUAUAAACCAGCCUGGCCAAUCAUAACAUAAAUUCAACAAAAAAGAGUCAGACUGCCAGGGUUCAGUUUGGCAGUCUGUUUCAUCCAGUUUCAGCUUGAUGACUUCCUAGCAAGUUACUUAAAGACUAUAUCAAUUUCUGAACUUGUGAACAAUGGAAAUAAUAGCAGCUACCUUAGGCACUGCUGUGUCAAUGAGCUAAUAUGUAUAAAAUACUAAUUAUAGUGUUUGACAUAUAUUAAACAUAAACUACACACACAGUAAUGAUUUAGGGUUUGAGAAAUGAGUGUAAAUUAUUAGUAGAAAUAAUAUGCUAAUACCUGGAAAAUUAGAAUUAAGUAGCUUGGUUCAUUCCACUCCAGUAUUCUUGCCUGGAGACUCCCAGAGACAGAGGAGCCUGUUGGGCUGCCGUCUAUGGGGUCGCACAGAGUCGGACACGACUGACACGACUUAGCAGCAGCUUGGUUCAUCCUUUUCCUGUACUCACUUUCCCUGGCCAAUUUUUGAAAACUAUGUUUUUGCUGAAUAAUGGCUUAUAAAAAUGUUACAUUUCAUAUCUUUCAGAUUUUUUAAAAAGAAAGUCAUGUAAACCAACUGAACUAACUUCCUAUGACAUAAAGAGUUUUUAUGUAAACUAGCAUUUUUGUUUGUUUCUAAUUAUAGGGAAAGAAGGAUGUCAGUAUUUCCAGAUAUUAUAGAAAAAAACAACUGAUACUAUUUUCUCCCAGUUUUUAAAAAUUUCUUAAGAAACCUUAUUCUUCUAUUUACAUAUAACUGUGUAUUUAAAACCUUUAAGCCUGGGAUUCCUAUAGACAGGCAGGCUUUAUGCUGUUGGGUUACAUCAUGGAAUAACUUCUGCAAAAAUGAGUUGGAAAAUAUUAUUACAUCUAUUCUCUGUGUUGCA